ACACACACACACAAACACAUACACACACAUCAGCUGCUGAUGUUAGGAUGUCGGUGCAUGUUGUCACAGGUGGCAGGAGAAAAACAGAAGACAAGUUGAGAACAGGACAGAAGAUUGAAGAACAUUCUGGGAUGUAAAGUGAGAGCGCAGAUGUAGCUGUGGGAGGAGGAGAGGGAGGAGGACAUGGAGCUGGAGGAGGCGUGUGUUUACAAGGAAACAAGGUCACAUAAGAAGGAAAACAACAAGUGUAUAGAAACCUGUGACAAUAGGAUGGAGGGAAGCUGAAACCUACAGAGAAGAUCUGUCACCUGGUCUGAGUACUGGACCAGGUGACUAGGUGACCCAGUCUGUGUGGGACUGAUGUCUGGUUGAUGGUUCUUCACCAGACCAGUCCAAUCAAUGAAAACUAGAGCUGUAACGAUUGACCAACUGAUCACCUGACAAACUGUGACCAAUCCACUGAUCUCCUUUCUCUGUCAGAACUGUGUAGAAUCCCAUCACCAACUGUAAAGGUCUGUGAACCUCAUCAACUGAAACUGUUCUCUUCAACAUUCAUCACCAUUGAUCUGCUCUGAUCCAAAGUCAAACUGGUCUUAAUGACCUGGUUAACUGUCAAUAUCCUGUCAAAAUGAGUUCCUUUCUGUACAGGAACACUGGAAAACACUGUCGGAUUCUUCCCGCUGUUCAUCUGUGCUUCUCCAGGGAGGCUCUGACUGAACCACAUCACUGCACCUCCUGCUCUCCUCAGAACCUCCUGUGGACCUUCAGGCCUCGCCUGGCAGCCACCGUCGCUCCAACAAAGCUGGGAACACACACACACACACACUCCACACCUGGAGCCCAGAAGGAGAGUGAAUGGACGAGGGUGUAACCCCACCCUCACCCCCUGACUUCCAGCUCCCCUACAACCUUGAAGUGACAAGGUGAAGGUUGUCGUCACAGGUGGAUGUUCUACAGCCACACGUCACCAUGACAACAGACUCUGCUCCUCCCUGAAGAUGACAUCACACAGCAGGAGCAGAAACCAGACACAGAAGACUGGACGCGGAGACUCCCAUACUGCUGCUGUCAGAGGAUCCACAGGUGGAGCUGAGACCUCCAGGUACAGACAGCACCGUCACCACAGAGGAGCCACGAAGAGAGGGAGGAGACCGGAGCAGGAGAAGGAGGAAGGACGAGGGAGGGAGGAUGGCUACACACUCCUCCCUCUUAUGACGCUCACCCACCACAGGCAACUCACUUUUUUACCACAACUCUCUCUCUCUCUCUCCCUCCCACACACCACUGUAAAAAGUGGUGUAAAUAAAUGGCAGGAACCCUGAGCAGAGUCACAGGAAUCCCAGAAUUCCACAGCAUCAUUCCUGGUUUCCCUCAGGCCACGCCCUCCACCCUGCCACUGGUCUGAGAGGUGCUGGUGGCGGCGCUGGUGUUGGUGGGGACGCUGUACUUGGUGAGGAC